rnacentral:lncRNA from 1 species
UUUUUAUUUUCAUUGUUUUGAAGCAAAAGUAGAAUUUGGUUAAGAUUGCAUUGUAGUAUUGUUAGUUUUGCCUUAUUGUCCUCUUUGCACUGUUCCCUUGUGGAUCGAUACCGUACUUUGAGUUUAUUACUACUUCGCGACCCGUACACUUGCUGUAAGAAUUCACUCUGGAGCGAAUUCAAAUUUUGGCGCCGUUUUGUCGGGGACAUACUUUCGCACAAGGGAACCACAAGAGGCGUCUAGAACACUAACCUCAGUACUUGCUAAAUUCAGCGGAUUGCUUCACCCCUCUUACUACAAGGGAAUCUACGCCAGAGUCAUCUGGGUAACCUGCUCCACUCUUUUUUGUGUUAGUUUUUAAAUUUUUUUUUUAUUGUUUUUAGGGUCUAAGUAUUAAUUUAUAAGGAGGAGGAUUUAGAGGUGAAUAGGCUCUGUGCUAUUUGUUUAUCGGUGGUUUUGUUUUACAUGGUGGAGAUUGUGUGGUUCGGCUGGGAGUAUUGAUUGACUUGUUGGACUCGGUGCUAAUAUAACUGUGGAGAUUGUGGAUCGGUUGGCUAAAAUAUUGCUUAUGUGUGCAUUGCAUUUGUAAUGUCCUCAUACUUUAGGAAUAACAACCGUUUAGUCCGAGUCGACCAUUGUGUAUUUACCACUAGAUAUUUGAUCCAUCACCCACAAGAUCUAGUCCGUAAGACAUCCCACGUUUUCUUAGAUUAACAUUGAACCCAUCCCUAUGGAUCACCACGACAAGAUCCUAGGGACAAUGCCUAGGUGGAGCACAAACGGGGAACAUGGAUUUGAUAGGGAGUAAGAGUAUCGUAAUCAUGCGAUCAUGCGGGGGAAGUCUAAUCCCACUCCGUACCAUGAGAGAUUACAUGAAUCCCGCAAGGCAAACACCCAUAUCUGCUAUAGUUCUUCUUGCGUCAUCUACCACAUUAAAUCUCAAAUCGGGAAUGUAACAAGCUUUUGCCAAUUUUAAUGGUUUGUGAGGUCCUGAGAGACCCUACACACUCUUAAAGAUUUUGAGGAUGCUUGUUCGAUUUUCAAGACAAUUCAUGUCCUAGGGGAUUUUACUUCUAAAACUUUUUCAUUCACUCCUAAAGGACAAGCAAAAUUUGGUUUAAUUCCUUUGAGACCUAGGUCCACUACUCAUUAAUGCAAUGGAGGGGGAGUUUGUGAAAAGUUUUUUUCCUGAAAAUCAUACUGAGGCACUACGUCGUGCCACUCUCUCAGUUUGUACCCAAAUAGUGGCAAGAGUUUCUUCCAAGCUGAGAGAUUUCAAGGGGGGGGGGGGACCUACUAACGCAUGCCCUCAUAAUAAUUUUCGUCCAUGGCACAUCAAUAUUUUUAUUCUUUAUUAUCUACAACAAUGAGAUAUUUGUCGUCCCAUGUGUGCGGAACGUUUCCAAAAAAAAAUCCUGAACAAGCCUUUGAGUAUUUUGAAAUUACUUGCAACUUGUCAAGAUUGGGCAUGCACGAACCUAAUAGGUGAAUAAAUCUUCUCCUUCCACACAGCAUUAGGUGUUACAUAUAAAUUGGGAGUGGAAGAUGAGUCAAUGCGAAACUCACUGCACUUUCGGACAAGUGGAAGCUUUAGCACAGCUAGGCCGCACCAUAGUCGUACAAACGAGUCUUCAAGUAGUGUGUAUUGUGCUAUACAAUUGCCCAUUGCACUGAUAUUUGUCCAAAAGAUGCACUUGGAUAGUUAAUGUGGUAGGGCCAAUUUUCGAGGAGUGGUGGUAUCCUUCUUUAAUACAUAUAAGCCUGGUUGGAGGAAUCUCCUAAUUUUUGGAUGGCGACAAAAGGGCACAGAACAUGCAAAAUGUUUUUCUCAAAUCUCAAAAUUUUCAAUCCUAACAACAACCUUACCAAGCACCACAUUCAUACCCUACACCUACUGCUGUCCAACCCCCGCUCCAUGGCAUAUUUUUCCGCCCCCCCUCUCUCCCACCUUCCCCAUAAAAACCCAAACAACAAAAAACACACCCACCUCCCCUCUCAACCUCCACAUCGGAGGAAGGAGGAUAAUGAGUUGCUACUUAAGUCACAAGUAAUUGAGCAACAAUUAAGGGAAAAUGAAGUCUAUCUUUAGAUUCUUGUAAUUUCGCAACAAAUGCAAGGGCGAUUUCCCGCCACUUAACAAAAAUCCACGCCUGCAAAUUACAUUGGGAAAUACAUGAGCAGGUUCAGGCCAUCACGACCCUUAGAAGUGGUAAGAAAUGAAUAAAACAAUUACAUAAAAAGGGUCAUUUAGGUGGGGAAGAGCCAAAGAUUAGUGGUGAGAGUGAGAGACAAAAGAAUGAGGAGGAAAUGAAAGAGAUCAAAGGGGAGGAACGAUGAACAUGAUUCUUAUCCGGCCACAAAAGUGUCCAUGAAAAUUUACUAUUGAGGACUUAAAACAGCAACCAUUCCUACAAGGUUGAAAAAAGUGAGUAAAGCCAACUUAAAUUCGAAAUCUAUACUCUUCAAACAAUUCGAAAUCAAUAUUUCGAUAUUGAUAUGAUAUUAAACAGAUUCCCUCUUAUGCCAAUUUUUAAAGGAAUGUUUACUGUCAAAAGUGAAUUUGCAUUUAAAAGAGAUGGCAAUGAUGAAUGAGAGUCGAGUGUCGAUUCUCCAAUGCACGUCUGUGCCGAAAUAUUAAGGACUGGAGGUCCUACUAUUUCGUGCAUAAGAGGGGGUUUGUAAGAUCAAGCGAGCACUUCUCGUUUAGGGUCUAGUGUGAAUUUGUUGCCGUAAUUCCGUAUACAAAGACCUUGUUUAGGAGAACUAAAACCACGCAGUUACACUGGAGUUGGCUGAUCGUUCUAAUUAAGUCCGAGGGGUAUCGUAAGAGGAUGUGCUUAUUCAGUCCGAUAUUGUGGACUACCUGGUAGAUUCCAUAGUCUUGGCUACGCAACCUGUCGUUGUGAGUCGUUAAACGUCAUAUUCCCUGUCAUUUUUAGUAGACUCAUUCCUAGCCACUCGAAUGCUGUUAUUCAUUGUAGGCAUGGAUACUUAAGUUUUUAUUUGGUAAUAUGACGUUGGAGACAAAUAUUUUCACUAUGGGUAACAAUAGGGAAGUAGACCAAAUUGAGGAAAUAAAUAUCAUUGAGUCCUCAUCAUUCAGAGCAUGUGGAUCGUGAGUUCAUGGAGGAUUCGAUUGAGGUCUCUAGUCUGGAGUGAAAGUCCCAUGACCAAUUUUGAAAAAUUCAAGUGCCAGUUUUAGGGAUACAUCCAUUGUCCCAAAAAAAAAAGUUUGAAGAAGGUAUUCUUCAUGCAUGUGGGUCAUUGGACCCCACCUUUUAAACCCUUACCAGUGUAAUUUAAACUGUUCCCAUCUAGAAAAACCACAAUUUCGGAAGAAAUCCUCUGCCAUCUACACUAAAGCAUACGUUCCUUGGAAAGAUGAGUCUUACCCCGUUGCAUAUCCUCUAGCCUAAUUGAAGGUCAAAAGGAAUCACUGUUGAAAGUACUUAAGAGGCAUGGAAGUCAUUAGGUUGGACAAGAGGGAUCUUCCACGGUAUUUAGUCCACUCAUGUGCACGCAUCGAUUUAUUUGGAAGAGGAUUCUAAACCUGUGCGCCACAUGCAAAGCAUUUAAAUUCCCAAUAGAAAGAGGCUGUUAAGAGGAAAGUGCUAAAACUUCUUGAUGCUGGUAUCAUAUAACCAAUUUCUGAUUCUAAGUGGGUGAGUCCAAACCAAUUUGUUUCCUAAGCAAUCGGGGGGUAACGGUGGUAAAGAAGAGCAUAAUGAGCUAGUGCUAACUGAAUUCAAACGGGUUUGGCGAAUGUGGCAUCGAUUACCGAAGCUUAAUGCUGCGAACUAGGAAAGACCACUUCCACUGUCCUGUUUUGGAUCAAUUCUAUAGCGGUUGGCGGGCCUAGCUUUUAAUAUUUUUUAGAUGGUACUCUGGGUACAAUCAGAUUGAGGUUGGGCUUAGAGUAUCAAGAUAAACCACAUUCACAUCUGGUUUUGGACUUAUCUUAUAGAGAAUGCCAUUUUGGCCUAUGCAAUGCACCGGCCACUUUUCAAGGUGCCAUGAUUUCAAUUUUCAUUGACAGGGUUGGGAAAAGAUUCUUGAGAUGUUCAUGAUGAUUUCUCGGUGUAGGGGGUACAUUUUGAAUCAUGUUUAGAGCUUUUAGAGUGUGUUUUUGGAGAGAUGUGAAGAGAGUCAACUUGGUUUUGAAUUGGAAAGUGUCACUUCAUGGUGACACAAUGUAUAAUCUUGGGCCAUAAGUAUGUCUUCGCAGGGAUAGAGGCAAUAAACAAAAGUCGAUUGAUCAAACAUCUACCUAUCCCUAAGUGUUUUGAAAGACAUUAGAUCAUUUUUUAGGGCAUGCCGGAUUUAUCGUCGUUUCAUUGAGGGGUUAGUUCCAGCUGGAGACCUUUGUGUCACUUGCUUUCAUAGAUGUACCCUUUGCAUGGACACCACAAUGUCAAGAAGCCUUUGAUAACUUAAGGGUCUUCCACCACUGCACCAAUUAUUCGCUCACCGGAUUGGUUCUCUACCUUUGAGUUGAGUUGAUGCGAGUGAUUAUGUAGUGGGAGCCAUUUGGAGCAAAGAUAGUAAGAACCUCAUGUCCAUAUACUAAUACUAGAAAGACCCUAACGAUGCCCAAUUGAACUAUACACCACCGAAAAGGAGUUGCUUUUGUGGUCUUUGCACCUCGAUAGUAUAGGUCAUACUUGGUCAAUCCUGGUUAUUAAUAUACUGACCAUUCCGCACUAAGUACCUCUUGACUAAACCUGACGCAAAUCGCGACUCAUUAGGUGGUUCUGUUAUUGCAAAAUUUUAAUAUUGAGAUCAGAGAAUAAGAAAGGGUUAUCUGACCACUUGUCAAGCUCCUACUGAUGGAAAAGCCAAAGAACUCUUCCGAUCAAUGAGUACUUUUCCUGAUGAGGCACUGUUUCAAUCACCACUCAUGGGGCAAUACUUCAUUACCAUGGUUUGCGGACAUCCCGCAAUUAGUUGGCCACCGGUAGAAUUCCUUUUACAUUGGUCUACAUUGAUAAGAGAAGUUUUUUUAGGCAUGUGAGGAUUUUUUUUGGAAAGAUCCGUAUUUGUUAAGUAUUGUCCUGAUCAGGUCAUACGUCGGUGCAUUCCUAAUGAUGAGGCGUGAAUAGCAUUUUUAGAGUUCUGUCAUUCACAAUCAUUUGGUGGACAUUUUCUUCACUAACCUGUGGCCAAAAUUUGCAAGGGGUUUUUAUUAGCCCACAUAUUCCGGAUGUUCAUGCCUUUCGCACCGUCAUGCAAUAAAUGCCAAGGUUAGGAAGUCCCUUGUCUAACGGCACAUGAUGCCUCUUACCCUUACUAUUUUAUCAUUAACAUACUUAAAGUCUUUGAUUGGCUGGGGUAUUGAUUUCAUUGUUCUUUUCCCUAAUUCAUGUGAUAUCUAUACUUCUAUGGCCAUAGAUUACGUAUCCAAUGGGGGUAGAACUAUACCAAUCGUACCAUGACCAUGCGGUUGUGGUCAAGUUAUUGAAGGAAUACCUUUUUUGCUAGAUUUGCAUGCCCCGAGCUAUUUUAGCGAUGGAGGCUCACAUUUUGUAAUAUACCCAUAGGACUCCUCAUUGUUCAACUAUGGAAUAGUCAUAAGGUUGGCACACCUUACCAUCCCAACCCAAGGGCAAGUUGAGUUGGGCAAUAGGGAAAAUCCAACAAGUCCUUGAGAAAAACUAUUAACCCCAACUGAAAGGUGGUCUUUGAGGUUAGUGGAUGCAUUAUGGGCCGUAAUAGGAUGCAUACAAACCAUUUUAGGGCCUCUCUAUUAGGAUUGUGUAGGGGAAAGCGUGUCACUGCCGUUGAAAUUGAGCACACAGCGGUAAUUGGGCUAUUCGCAAUUUUAAUAUUAGUCUUGGGGGUGGGGACAUUCGUAAUUGCAUUUAAUGAGUUAGAGGAGAUACGAAUGAUGCAUACGAAAACACAAGAAUCUCAAAAGUUAAGAUACAUCUUGUGCAUGAUAAAUUGAUUAUGCGCAAAAUCAUUCAAUGUGGGUCAAAAGGUGCUUUUGUACAACGCCCGUUUGCAUUUGUUUCCGGAAAAACUUCAAGUUGAUGGUCCGGUCUUUUGUGGUGCAUGUUAUUCAUCUCAUGGGGCGAUACAUACUAAUUCGAGGAAUGAAAAUGUGUUUAAGUCAAUGGGCAUUGUUUUGAAGCCCUAUCUUUGAGCUGGAGACAAGAGAUGAUGAGUUUGUGGGGAUCACAACGCUCCACGCAGUUCGAUUAAUUGGCAAAGAUGCCUUUUUCGGUUUGUUGUACAUAGCGUCGUUUGUAAAUCUAUUUAUGUAGGCGUUGAUUUUUAUUUUGAAUUGUUUUUUUUUUUUUUUUUCUUCGCAUUUCGGAGAAUGCUCGUGUUUAGUUGUGGGGAUUACUUCGUAUUUUUCUUUUUAGGACGUUUUUAUUUUUAGGAUAUUUGUUUUAUUAUAAUUUCCAUUUCCCCCCCCCCUCCCCUCCCCUCCCCUCCCUCCCCCUUUCCUCCGGCGUUCGCCUCUCCCUCUGCCGUCCCUUUCGGUCUUCGCGUUCGCACGCGCAACAAAUGCACUAAGCGUUCGAACCCCCUCGAUUGUUCGAACGUCGAUCCCGGGCGGUUUUUUUUAACUGAAAGUCGCAUUAUUUCAGUUACCUUCCUUCCCAGGCACACAUCCAUAGAGAGAGAGAGAUGAGAGAAGAUUUGGCGAAUUUUGAGGGGAAGCCUGAAGUGUUAAAGUUUCAUCAUUUUGGGUGGAUCAAUCAGGUAAAUUUCAUAAAUUCCUUGCUUGAAGUGUUUAGAUUUAGGGAUUUCAUCUUAUAAACCUAGGUUCAAAAAAAAAAAAAAAAUUAAGGUUCCAUGUUAAGUGUAAUAAAUCAAACAUAUACACACACACUCUGAUUUUUCCUUUUUCCAUUAGUGUUGUAGACUUGUUUUAAAGUUCUAAACCCAAAAGAAGAGGGAAUCUCAUGGUUAAAAUAUUUAUGAACAACCUAGGACAGUGUGUGUCACUCCAAGUUUCGAUGAAUUGCCACAAUGAAGAAAUUACUUAAGUUAAUGAGGGAAUUUAUUUUAACCAUCGUCCACGCUAUUAUUUGAGAUUUGAGAGCAUUAUGUCCAAAGAAAUUGUGCAUGGAAGUUUAGACUCAUAUGCCCUUCAACAUGUUUCGACCCGAAAAAAAAAUUUGUCCCAAUGAAAGAAUCAAUUAAUUGGUGAGGGAAUGGAUGUGUAAUUCGUCGGUGUGUCGGUCAUUAAAGAUUGGGAGACGCUUGAGUUAAAGAAAACGUUGUGUAGAACCUCUAUUUUUACAUGGGAAUACAACAUCGUGGUGCAUUCGCGGAGUCUCAAUUGAGACUCAUGUAAAACACCCCUUUGUAGGCACAUACAGUUGAUUGCAUAGUUGCAUAUGUGGUGACUUGUGUUUGUAUUUUUGCUUGGUUGGUAUGCAGGGGGUAACUGAAUAGUUGGGUAAUAUGGAACACGGGAGUCUAACUAAGAGGUAAGUCCCAAGGAAAGGCAGGGGUGGAUAUGAUAUUCUCGUGUCGUGGGAAAAAAUUGCGAAAAAUUAUUCAAUAAGGUCUGGAUUCGCAAUGAGGCAGUACUUGAGAGGAGCUAAAUUUAGUUGCUUAUGAAAACCUGGCAUUAGUUUUUGUCCAAACUUUACCACUAGGGGUUUGGAUAAAUCUGGAAAAUUUAAGGCAAAAUCGGUUCUAACUUGUGCCAGAGUUCAUGAAAAACAUCAAACCAUGAACGCGGAGACUGAACCAAGGAAAGGAGAAAUUGUGUAGUUGGGUGUGAGAAAGAAAUUAAAGUACCCCCGAUACGUUUGCUAAAAUUUUUGAGAUUCCCCGAGAGAACCCUAGAGUUUGCAUUUCCUAUUCGGGAUGCCGGACUUAAGCGUUUUCUCACAAAAUUGCCUUUUUAGAGUGAGAUGAAUGGGACGGUGAGGUUGCAGUGUAACUAGAUACGCCUCAAGGAUAGUAUUUUGAUUUUAAUUUCUGUUUUCAUGUCAUUCCCGCUUCCUUUGAACCGUCACGGUAUCCAUGGAAUGGUGCUAAUGCGAGGUUGUUGUGGCCAAUUGGUAUUAGGAAAACCUGAAUUACCGCAUAUCAUAUUUUUAUCUUUGUGCGCCACAUAUAGGCUUCGGACAGAGGGGUUCCGUGCCUUUCACGGGAUUCUGACAGAGUUAUUAAAAGAAGUGAGUCCAUAUCCCUUUAGAUUUCAUUAGGAUUGAGCCUGAGGGGCCCAUUGAUAGAGCUUCUUUGUCCGAUUGAGGGGCCAAAAGGAGGAAGAGGAAAUGGAGGAAGAAAAAAAUGAGGGAUCAGCUAUAAGGAUGGGAGAGCUAAAAGAAGCCAUUCUGAAUUUGAGGGGGGGAAAAGAGAUGAGUAAAGCAAAUGUCUGAAUUUGGAGAAGAAGGUGAAUACCCGAUUGUCGUCAUUAGAGAUGAGUUCUAGUCGUCACACGGUUAUACUCCAAGACUUGAAAGGAUGUGAUCCGUAUGGAGGAGGAAGAUGAUGAUGAUGACGAGGAGGAUUAGGAUUUAUCGACGGGUUCUUUCUUUUUGCGAUUUGUUUUAAUUUUUUAUGUUUUAUGGUUGGAUACGAGUAUACAUUUGGAUGCUUUUAAUGUUGUUGAAUUUGUUGUAAUUGCUGGCAUGCUUGUUUUUAAUUGUCUUGGCUUAAAUUGUUCGGGCAGAAGUUGUCUGCCAUGAUUGCAAAUAAAAAAAAACAGGUCCUUAUCAUGUAAGCGAAGCAUGUGUUUUUCUGGUUCCUUUGACAGUUAUGAGGAAAUUGGCAUUAAAUCUUACACUUGGGUGGAAUUGAGAUGUUGUUAUAAUGGGGAGGUGUGUGUGAGAAUGAAUUUUUAGUUUUUUGGGCCCAACUGAAUAAUCAUAUUUUAUUUUCAAAAGAUAGUUGAAGCAGUAGGGGAUCUUGCAUAAUAUGAUGUUUAAGCGGAGUAUCAGUCAAAUCAAUCUGCAUGAUUGAUACGUUACUGUCUGUGCAAUUAUAGAGAGACAUAUAGAGAGAGAGGAUCACAUACACUAAGCACGAGUCGUGUUAAAGUAAAAUUGUUAUGAAUCUAAAUGACUGCACCCGUAAUAGUGGAGAUUUUAACCUUGUGAGCUUUUUUAGAGCCAAAGAAUCGUUUUUUUUAGGAGCUGAUUUUACAUGUAUUCAAGGAAAUUGGAACCUAAUGUUUGGAAUAGCUGCAUACACUGAAUUUGGUUCACAUUGUUAUGUGAUGAGUUGGGGAAGUGUUGGCACCUUUUACAUGAUUUACACCUAUCACGAAUUCUGAGUUAAUUUGAGGGCCAAUCAGCAUACGUCUUCCAAUUCUGUCAAAUUCUUGGUAAUUGAUAUAUAAUACGAUAUCGAAAAAGAGGAUAAUUUUGAAAUUCGUUGUUAGAUUAUGAUGGGGUAGACGAAAAAAAAAUCAUAUCAAAGGUGUUAAAAGUGAAAAAGGUGUUAAAGGAAAAGAGGUGAAAUGGCCCGUCGUUGGUGCUCAUUUAAGAAUGCGCAUGUAUAGUGAUCAAUUGCAUAGCGUCGAGAUCGAUCGACCACUGAUUCUCUCUAUUUUCGUUGGACUACAUCUUUUAACAUGGCUUAAGCUAUUGUAAGUACAUCGGAAUUCAAGCUUCAUGUAAACCUAUUAUGUCAAACCAAAAUGGUGCAUUAACGGUAAACAUUCCUUCGUAAAGCUAUACCAAGUCGAUAUAAUUAAACUUUUUGCAUUUUUUUGAAAUUGGGAUUGCCUCUCUUUGCGUUACUUUUAAACUUAUCAUAUAAUGAGCAAUCCUUUGAGAGAAACCUUGUGUAUUUUAUUAUGAGAGUGUCAUGACUGUAGUUUUUUUGUUAUCGAGGCUGUGAUGUUGUUGUCAUAGGAUGCUUAAUGGCUUGAAGUUUGGGGAAUACGACUUCCACCACUUUUCACACGUUGAAUCUUCGUCUAUAUUGCACUGACAGUUGGAGUAGAUUGCUUAAGCAUGAUUUAAGUUGAUUUGAAUUGCCUUGCAUUGUAUUUUAUUGAGAAGCUAUUGUUAAAUUAUUUGUGAUAAAUUGAUGAGGUGAUGUUUGGGGGGUAUCAUCAUUGAAAAACCCUCACGAGACCACACUGUCACUAGGGUAAUCCUAGGGGUUUAAAGGCGGGAUGCCAUACGGUUAAAUGCAAUUGGGACUCUUACGAAAGAAGAGAUCCUCUUUUUGCUUUUGUUAAUUUUUCUAGGGGGACUAGCAACAAAAGGUUAGUUGGGGGAUGUGAUUGGACUAAAUAAGUGUAUUUCAAAUACCGUUUAACUAACCUAAGUGACUCUAUUUAGUCUAAUAGUUAAUUUUAUCAUAUAUGGCUCAUUUUACAGUGGUAUCUGAGUCUAGUGCCAGGUUAAAGUCAAAUAAAAGAGUAGGAAAAAGAAAAAAAUGUCUGAGGAAAAAAAUACCUAGGGCAUUCGAACGCCCCAUUGGAAAAGGGAAAGUACGUUCGACGCUCGUCGUGUAAAAAAAAAUUUGAGAAUUUGUGAAGAACGUUCGAACGCUGACCAAGAGGAAUUUUGGAAUGCCGAACGCCAAGAAGAAAAAUAGCGAAGAGCGUUCGAACGUUAUGCUACAUUUCGACAAAGUGCGAGAGCUAAAUUGGACGAAGCGUUCAAAAGGCCCUCCUUGCUACAGUUCGAAAACGUGCAAGGGAGGGACUUUGAAAAUUAUUUUUUUUUUCCUAAGCGUUCGGAACGCUCAUGGAAGAAGGAUUUUUAGAGCAUCCGAACGACAAGAAGUGAAAGUAGAAGAUUAUUCGGAACGUUCGAACGGAUCCAUGGAAGAAGGAAGUUGGGCGUGACUCGAACUUCAAGGCAAAUCAUGAUGAAAAGUUCCGAAUCCGUUUAGGGACUCGAAUGUAGGAAGUGCUUAUAUAAUCCCUUUAUAUGCUUUUGUUUUGAAAGGGGUGUUGAGGACGUAAUUUUAGGGUUUUUCUCAGCCUCUAGUUUAGUUUCCAAAGUUUUUAAUUAUUGCUUGUAAGUUUGCUAUAUUAAACGUCUUGUUUGUUUUACUAAUUUAGGAUUUGACAAUUUAUCAAGUUUUUUCAAUUCUUUUGCAUGAAUUCAAUUAUCUUUGGUUUACAUCAUUAGAUAAGAUUGUAAUUUAGAAGGCAUUCAAUAUUAGAUUUUUGUUUACCUUAGCCAUGAUGGCUAGUUUUUUUCUUUACUGGAAUCGAAUUGUGAAAGUCAAUCGGGAAUUAAAGGAUGAACAAUGGAGGUAAAUUAUUUUCACCGUUUAUAUUUUUCUAAUUUUAUUUUUUUCUUAACCAAUCUAAAUACUUCGAAAACUUGGGGAGUCCUAUUAUGUUCGAAUAAACAUUCGUGUAUUCGGAUCGAGAUGACUACCAUGAUUAAAAUAAACCAGAUUAUUUACUUUCGAAAAACUGGAGUCAUUAUGUUUGAAUAACAUUGGUGAUGCGGAUCGAUGAUGCACUACCAUAAUCAUAACAAACAGAUUUAUUUAGAGGUGAAGUAAGUAAGAAUAUUUGGUUUGAAAAGUAAAUUUUCCGAAUUAAGACUCAGAUAGUCGAGGAUUUCAUGUUAAUUCAUAUUGCCUCCGUUGAAAUUCCUGAGAAAACAUUGUGGAUAAUCGAUUCUGUAGUUCAGUUGUAAUUCAAGUUAAAUCAGUUUUCUGUUAUGAUUUUGUUAUUGAAAAUUUAGUCCAACUCAUGCAAAAAUCCCAAAAAUCAUAUUUUAAUUUUAUUUUUUUGAAGCAAAGUACAAUUUGGUUAAGAUGGCAUGGUAGUGUUUCGUUUCUUGUUAUCAACUUUGUACUGUUCCUUGUGGGAUCGUAAUCGUGCUUCGAGUUUAGUACUAUUUCGACGACCCCGUACAAAAAACUACGGUAAAAAGAAUUCAAUUCUGGGAGCGAAUCAGUGAACGUGGCAUAAACCACUUCUGUUGUCGGUUGCAAGGUAAGAACUUGAAUACCCUCUCGAUUCCCAGAGAUAAGACGAUGCAGCCAUUGGGAUCUGGGGGUUCCAUAAAAAAGUUGGGGCUUUAAUGGUGGAAUGCUUAAAGUGGACGUCGGCAUCGCUCCGGUCCUGGAAUUGGCAUACAUUGCCGGUUGGUUACGGUUACAUCAUCUGGUUAUUAUUAUUGUGAACAUCAUGGCACCACUUAAAAACAAGUCCCUCUAAAAUCCUCUCUAUGCGCCAACUCAAUCUUCAGGCUCUACUGACCCCUCUACGGCCACGUCCUCUUCUAGGGGCAUAGCGUCUACAAAAUAUCAAACGUUUAUUAACCCUAUCUCAAACACUUAGCUACAUUAAUUCUACUAUAGCAUUAGCAACCCUAGCGUAUAUCACUAGUCAGUCUUAGAUUCUAGAAUAGACGUGACACUAUAUCAGGUGUAAACCUAUAGCUUCCGUAUUUGUUUUGUACGGAUAAACUAAGCUCUAAUACCAUCUGUCACGCCCAGCAACAACGGGUAUGCGGAUGUGGGUGUGUGAUGGCCAAAGGCUGACCGCAAGGCCAACUGGCAGAAAACCUGUGCAAACAUUCAUUUGGAAUGCAUAAUUGUUCUUUGCGGAAAAAAAAUCAUAACUGAGAAUAAUAAAAAGUGUCAGGCCAUACCGUACAUACAGAGCUGUGUCUAAUUUUUAAAGUUUACAUACAAAAGAAGGCCAACUUUAAUUAUAAAAUACAUCACAUGGACCAAUAUAAUUACAUGACUAGGGUAAGUCUAUAUAAUAACUAAAAAGUCCUCUUGGCCACAAAAACUAUGAUCUUUCAAAGCGGACUCCUUCUUAAGGUCCCGGAUUGGCCUACUGAAAAGGUUUCGAAAACAAAGUUAAAACUUAGUGAAUAACAACGAUGCAUGAACGUAAAAUUAGUAUGGAUACUUUCAUAUCAUACAUCCAUUAUAAGUGUUAAAACAAGUGAGUAUUAACAUAACUUUAUUGGAAUAUUAGUUUAAAACUUGAUCUUGCAUAAAAUGGCCAUCACGUUUUCCGGAAAAUACAUAAUCAUAUCAUGAAAACGUAUAGUUCGGAUUAAUACAUGGACCAUAUAGGUCGGGUGGUUAUUUAGGCUGAGAUAUCCUUAUAAAUGAUUUAUUUCACGUCCCUAUUUACUUUUAGACCAUUAGGUUAGAUUAGAUCCCACACAGGGGGACCCAGAGUGUAACAUGCUAUACUUUGAAACUACCAGUUCAUCUGGAAUUAAACAACCAUGGAUUUUUCUUUCGUACAUAAUAGCAUAUCAUAUAUGAAAACAUAGCAUUUGUAUUGAUAACAAUCGUUAAUGUAAUGAAAAAUAUGAAAAAAUCUUGAAUAUACAAUAAUAUGUAUGAAACUAUGUCAACAUACGUAAUUUGUUUAUCGCAUGCCUGUUAAUCAUUGGAUUCUCUUGGCUAGAUGCUAGACAACGCGUCUCCUAACAUAUAAAAGGACAAGAUCAUUCAUAAUUACGAUUGAUUUAAUCAAUAUGAUUAAGGAAAAGUGUAACAAUAGAAAAAUUCUAAAUUUCUAACUCAAGUAUAUACGUUUAAAUUUUUUUCUGCAACAUAGGAUAACUCUAAGAUGGUGCCAGAAACAAUAAUUCCAUUCUCAUUUAAGCCUCGGUAUCAUUCGAACCACAGUAAAAAUCGUUCGAAUACAAGUGUCCAAACUCUUCCCAAACCCCAUUCGAACUCAACCGUUCGAACCUUUUUUACUACGAAUUCAGAUUUUCCAAACAAAUCUUUUUAAAAUCUUUAUGUUCCUUUCAAGACUUCUAACCUCAAAGAUAAUAACUCAGUUUGGUUACAUAACUCAAAUUCCAAACUCUUAAAAAUAACCCUAAAACUGGUAUGAUCUAAGAUUAAAAACUUUGAACAAUAUUAGCAUGGAUGGAAAUCUUGGGAUUUUUUUUUUUUCAAACCCACACUGAAUAACUCAUAAACCUUAACAAUGUUAUUGACGCAAUUUUAGACUCAAGAAAGUACCUAUUGAAAAUUACAAUACAUAUAAAUUACUUCCUAUAUUUUGGGUUAUGGUUUUUUACCUUUUUUUAAGAUUUCAAGCUCCACAAUAGCUUCUUUUUGCUUUGAAUGAGCUUUUUAAGCUCUCUCUUCCUUACUCUUCUUUCCCCCUUCUUCUUCUCUUUCUUUUCUCCUUUCUCUAUCUAUCUCUCUUGGCGUGGGUGUGUGUUUGGAUUUGAUAAAGUGAAAUGAAAGUGUGGUUGUAUUGAUUGGUAUGGAAAAUUAUUUCGUGUGGUGCGUCCCUUUCUAAUUUCGUGUGCCAUUUUUAUUUUUCAUUUCCUGCAGUUACCGUUCGAACACUUACUAAUCCGUUCGAACAUUAACGUUCGAACACCUCUCCUCCCGUUCGAACACAAAUGAAAAAUUCUAUUACGGGUUCGGGGUAUUACACUCAUAAUUCAAUCUCUCCCUAUCAUCAUUCUUUACUCUAAAAAAUAUAUUCAAAUCAUCGGCAUUGAGAGCAUAAACUAUAUAGAUGAAGAGACAUGCUAUGACAUCAAUUCAAAACAUUUUUGACACAAUAUAGUGAACUCAUACUAACUAUGAAAUCAUAGUUUAUCUAAGAUAGAGUCAGAAUAUUCAUUAAUUCAAUAAAUUAAACUUAUAUCCCUUAUGAGGGUUGUACUCUUUUUAAGAGUAUUCUUGCAAUUAAUAUGUUUAUAUUUUUGUGCUCCCCUAAGAAUUGUGCACAAUUGCUCUAUAAAUAUAAUGUCUAUGUGAGUUAUUUCUUCCUAAGUGAAAUUAUAACGAUAGGAUGAAUAAUGAAACCAUAACUAUUAGAUGUGUUAGGCCAAAUUCAUAAUCAACACAAUAAUGUCCGUUGUGAAUUAAGAGUAUUAGAGCCAUAGCAACACAAAUGUAUAGAGCAUAGCAAUUCCUUGCUCCCCUUUUUUGUAUGGCAAUGCCAUAUUAGUUUUUAUAAUUUGCUCUUAACUACGAUACCAAUAAGUUUUAAUAAAAUGAUAUCCAAUUAUAUUCAAAUAUUUAUUUAGUUCACCUUUACUCAUAGGCACAUGCAUAAUACAAUAUCAGAUUUUUCUCCCCAUUCAAUAUGUCAUAUUCAUAUCC